UGAAGAUUGAGUCAGCAUCCUUAUCGUACAGUGCAGAAAUCUGAAAUUACAGAGAUUAUGCAAUGUAUCGUGGUCAACCAGAAAAUGUGUUGUCCUUAAAGGCAGGCUUUCUAUUUUAAAAGUCUGUACAAAAACCAUGCCAAUAGGGCCUGAUGUCUCCUUAGAAAACCUAGCAGCAGAAACCUGUUUUUUUUCUGGAGCUGAUCUUAGAAACCUCUGCACAGAAGCUGCUUUGCUGGCUCUGCAAGAAGAUGGACUAGAUGCAACUACAGUGAAACAAAAGCACUUUCUAAAAUCACUUAAGACUGUAAAACCAUCAUUAAGUCGCAAGGACUUGGCUUUAUAUGAAAACUUAUUUAAGAAAGAAGGAUUUUCUAACUUGGAAGGUAUUUAAAAAUCACCUUAAACUCUUGUUUAGUUGUUCACAUUAAUUGAAAUGUGAACUUGCCUGUUUGCAACUUCACACUUUUAGAAUUUGUAUUUAUAUUUCCUGUAAGUAAAUUAAAAAAA
rnacentral:sRNA from 1 species